rnacentral:lncRNA from 1 species
GCCUGUUUCCUUAGUCUUUACCUUGGGAUUUUGUUCAUUCUCAGCAGUGCUCAAAAAUGCAAAAGCUACCUUCUCUUCCCAUAUAACCACCAGUCUGCUUCCUGGCACAUGGCUUCUUCCCCAAAUCCCUACUCACCUAUGCCUUCAUGCCUUUGCCUAUGCCUGUUCUCUUUGCUGUUUACUUUCCUAUUCACUAUUUACUCCAACUCAUUCUUCAUGGCUAGUUCUUUUCAAAUAGCUUCUUUUAGGCCUUCCCUGGUAAUCUCUCUUAACUCCUACUUGAUUGAGUGCCAUAUUUCUCACUUGGUGCAUAAAAAGAUU